rnacentral:misc_RNA from 1 species
GAUGAAGAACGUAGCGAAAUGCGAUAAGUAAUGUGAAUUGCAGAAUUCAGUGAGUCAUCGAAUCUUUGAACGCACAUUGCGCCCAUUAGUAUUCUAGUGGGCAUGCCUGUUCGAGCGUCAUUAAGUCCACUUAAGCCCUGCUUAGUGUUGGGAGACUGCUCCAGCGGUGCUACCCUGUAGCUACCCUGCAGCUCCUCAAAGACAGCGGCGGAGUUGUGGUAUCCUCUGAGCUUAGUAACUUGUUCUAGCUUUCGAGUACACCACUUCCCCUGCCGUAAAACCCUUAAUUUUUAAUGGUUGACCUCGGAUCAGGUAGGAAUACCCGCUGAACUUAAGCAUAUCAAUAAGCGGAGGA